rnacentral:rRNA from 1 species
GUAGUAACUGCCCUUUAUUGACGGUAAUCAACCAGAAAGUCACGGCUAACUACGUGCCAGCAGCCGCGGUAAUACGUAGGUGGCAAGCGUGUCCGGGAUUUAUUGGGCGUAAGGCGAGCGCAGGCGGAUUGAUAAGUCUGAUGUGAAAGCCUUCGGCCCAACCGAAGAACUGCAUCAGAAACUGUCAAUCUUGAGUGCGGAAGAGGAGAGUGGAACUCCAUGUGUAGCGGUGGAAUGCGUAGAUAUAUGGAAGAACACCAGUGGCGAAGGCGGCUCUCUGGUCUGUAACUGACGCUGAGGCUCGAAAGCAUGGGUAGCGAACAGGAUUAGAUACCCUGGUAGUCCAUGCCGUAAACGAUGAGUGCUAAGUGUUGGGAGGUUUCCGCCUCUCAGUGCUGCAGCUAACGCAUUAAGCACUCCGCCUGGGGAGUACGACCGCAAGGUUGAAACUCAAAGGAAUUGACGGGGGCCCGCACAAGCGGUGGAGCAUGUGGUUUAAUUCGAAGCAACGCGAAGAACCUUACCAGGUCUUGACAUCCUUUGACCACCUAAGAGAUUAGGUUUUCCCUUCGGGGACAAAGAGACAGGUGGUGCAUGGCUGUCGUCAGCUCGUGUCGUGAGAUGUUGGGUUAAGUCCCGCAACGAGCGCAACCCUUGUUAAUAGUUGCCAGCAUUAAGUUGGGCACUCUAAUGAGACUGCCGGUGACAAACCGGAGGAAGGUGGGGAUGACGUCAAGUCAUCAUGCCCCUUAUGACCUGGGCUACACACGUGCUACAAUGGACGGUACAACGAGAAGCGACCCUGUGAAGGCAAGCGGAUCUCUGAAAGCCGUUCUCAGUUCGGAUUGCAGGCUGCAACUCGCCUGCAUGAAGCUGGAAUCGCUAGUAAUCGCAAAUCAGCACGUUGCGGUGAAUACGUUCCCGGGUCUUGUACACACCGCCCGUCACACCAUGAGAGUCUGUAACGCCCGAAGCCGGCGGGAUAACCGAAAGGAGUCAGCCGUCUAAGGCGGGACAGAUGAUUAGGG